AUUGAACGCUGGCGGCAGGCCUAACACAUGCAAGUCGAGCGAGCGGCGGACGGGUGAGUAAUGUCUGGGAAACUGCCUGAUGGAGGGGGAUAACUACUGGAAACGGUAGCUAAUACCGCAUACCAUCAGAUGUGCCCAGAUGGGAUUAGCUAGUAGGUUGGGUAACGGCUCACCUAGGCGACGAUCAGUAGCGGGUCUGAGAGGAUGAUCAGCCACACUGGGAAUGGGGAACGGGCCAGACUCCUACGGGAGGCAGCAGUGGGGAAUUUUGCACAAUGGGCGCAAGCCUGAUCAAGCCAUGCCGCGUGUAUGAAGAAGGCCUUCGGGUUGUAAAGGACUUUUGUCAGGGAAGCGGUACCUGAAGAAUAAGCACCGGCUAACUACGUGCCAGCAGCCGCGGUAAUUC
rnacentral:rRNA from 1 species